UAACGCGUGGGUAACCUGCCUCAUACAGGGGGAUAACAGUUAGAAAUGACUGCUAAAACCGCAUAAGCGCACAUUGUCGAGUGACAGAGUGUGAAAAACUCCGGUGGUAUGAGAUGGACCCGCGUCUGAUUAGCUAGUUGGUGAGGUAACGGCCCACCAAGGCGACGAUCAGUAGCCGGCCUGAGAGGGCGACCGGCCACAUUGGGACUGAGACACGGCCCAAACUCCUACGGGAGGCAGCAGUGGGGAAUAUUGCACAAUGGGGGAAACCCUGAUGCAGCGACGCCGCGUGAGUGAAGAAGUAUUUCGGUAUGUAAAGCUCUAUCAGCAGGGAAGAAGAAAGACGGUACCUGACUAAGAAGCCCCGGCUAACUACGUGCCAGCAGCCGCGGUAAUACGUAGGGGGCAAGCGUUAUCCGGAUUUACUGGGUGUAAAGGGAGCGUAGACGGCUGUGCAAGUCUGAAGUGAAAGCCCAGGGCUCAGCCCUGGGACUGCUUUGGAAACUGUGGAGCUAGAGUGCUGGAGAGGUAAGUGGAAUUCCUAGUGUAGCGGUGAAAUGCGUAGAUAUUAGGAGGAACACCAGUGGCGAAGGCGGCUUACUGGACAGUAACUGACGUUGAGGCUCGAAAGCGUGGGGAGCAAACAGGAUUAGAUACCCUGGUAGUCCACGCGGUAAACGAUGAAUACUAGGUGU
rnacentral:rRNA from 1 species